rnacentral:rRNA from 1 species
AUUGAACGCUGGCGGCAUGCCUUACACAUGCCAGUCGAACGGUAACGGGUCCUUCGGGAUGCCGACGAGUGGCGAACGGGUGAGUAAUAUAUCGGAACGUGCCCAGUAGUGGGGGAUAACUGCUCGAAAGAGCAGCUAAUACCGCAUACGACCUGAGGGUGAAAGGGGGGGAUCGCAAGACCUCUCGCUAUUGGAGCGGCCGAUAUCAGAUUAGCUAGUUGGUGGGGUAAAGGCCUACCAAGGCAACGAUCUGUAGUUGGUCUGAGAGGACGACCAGCCACACUGGGACUGAGACACGGCCCAGACUCCUACGGGAGGCAGCAGUGGGGAAUUUUGGACAAUGGGCGCAAGCCUGAUCCAGCAAUGCCGCGUGCAGGAAGAAGGCCUUCGGGUUGUAAACUGCUUUUGUCAGGGAAGAAAUCUUCUGGGCUAAUACCCCGGGAGGAUGACGGUACCUGAAGAAUAAGCACCGGCUAACUACGUG